rnacentral:rRNA from 1 species
CCUACGGGUGGCAGCAGUGAGGAAUAUUGGUCAAUGGACGAGAGUCUGAACCAGCCAAGUAGCGUGAAGGAUGACUGCCCUCUGGUUUUUAACCUCUUUUUAUAAGGGAAUAAAACGAGGCACGUGUUCCUUUUUGCAUGUACUUUAUGAAUAAGGAUCGGCUAACUCCGUGCCAGCAGCCGCGGUAAUACGGAGGAUCCGAGCGUUAUCCGGAUUUUUUGGGUUUAAAGGGAGCGUAGAUGGGUUGUUAAGUCAGUUGUGAAAGUUUGCGGCUCAACCGUAAAAUUGCAAUUGAUACUGGCAGUCUUGAGUACAGUUGAGGUAAGCGGAAUUCGUGGUGUAGCGGUGAAAUGCGUAGAUAUCACGAAGAACCCCAAUUGCGAAGGCAGCUUACUAGACUGUGACUGACAUUGAGGCUCGAAAGUGUGGGUAUCAAACAGGAUUAGAUACCCUGGUAGUC